GACGAACGCUGGCGGCGUGCCUAAUACAUGCAAGUCGAGCGCAGGAAGCUGACGGAACUCUUCGGAGGGAAGGCAGUGGAAUGAGCGGCGGACGGGUGAGUAACACGUAAGGAACCUGCCUCAAGGAUUGGGAUAACUCCGAGAAAUCGGAGCUAAUACCGGAUAGUUCAACGGACCGCAUGGUCCGCUGAUGAAAGGCGCUUCGGCGUCACCUUGAGAUGGCCUUGCGGUGCAUUAGCUAGUUGGUGGGGUAACGGCCCACCAAGGCGACGAUGCAUAGCCGACCUGAGAGGGUGAUCGGCCACACUGGGACUGAGACACGGCCCAGACUCCUACGGGAGGCAGCAGUAGGGAAUCUUCCACAAUGGACGAAAGUCUGAUGGAGCAACGCCGCGUGAGUGAUGAAGGUUUUCGGAUCGUAAAACUCUGUUGUAAGGGAAGAACACGUACGAGAGGAAAUGCUCGUACCUUGACGGUACCUUACGAGAAAGCCACGGCUAACUACGUGCCAGCAGCCGCCGCCG
rnacentral:rRNA from 1 species